rnacentral:lncRNA from 1 species
UUGAUGGUGUUCAGAAGGAGAAAGGCGAUGUGUUGUUGGUUGUCGGCCUGUGGAAGGAGGUCGACGAUGGUUGAUGGUUGAAAGGUUGUGACUGAAUAAUUUUUUCAGUUUUCUUGUUUUUCCCAUUUUCUUAUUUUUUUUUUCAUUUUGUUUUUAUGAGAGAAAUAGAUAUCAGCGUGAGAGGAAGUUUUCAAUCAGAGACAAAAACGUCUCAGCCUUUUCUCGCGUUCCUUUUUUUUAAAAUAAUAAUUUUGUUGAUUUUUAUGAGAAAGUGAAGAGGGAUCA